GUACAUGCUUUGGCAGUACAAAUACUAAAAUUGGAACGAUACAGAGAAGAUUAGCAUGACCCCUACGCAAGGAUUCAUGCCACACCGUAUUAGAUUUGUUACAUUAUC